rnacentral:rRNA from 1 species
GAUGAACGCUAGCUACAGGCUUAACACAUGCAAGUCGAGGGACCGGCCCACGUGUGAGUAACCCGUAUCCACCCUGCCCUUUACUCGGGGAUAGCCUUUCGAAAUAAAGCUUAAUACCCGAUCUCAAGGAUGUGGAUGCGUUCCAUUAGGUUGUUGGUGAGGUGACGGCUCACCACGCCUUAGAUGGAUAGGGGUUCUGAGAGCAAGGUCCGCCACAUUGGAACUGGUACACUGUCCAACAUCGUACGCGAGGCGGCAGUGAGUAAGAGUGUGCAAUGGUAGCUAGCCUGAACCAGCCAAGUAGAGUGAAGGAUUAAGGCUUAUGUGUCGUAAACUUCUUUUAUAUAAGAAUAUGUAUUAUAUGAAUAAGGAUCGGCUAACUCCGUGCCAGCAGCCGCGGUAAUGC